rnacentral:rRNA from 1 species
AGAGUUUGAUCCUGGCUCAGGAUGAACGCUAGCUACAGGCUUAACACAUGCAAGUCGUGGGGCAGCGGAUACUUAGCUUGCUAAGUAUGCCGGCGACCGGCGCACGGGUGAGUAACGCGUACCGAACCUGCCCAUCACACAGGGAUAGGCUUGCGAAAGCAAGAUUAAUACCUGAUGGUCUCAGUUGUAUGCAUGUAUGAUUGAGUAAAGCCUUCGGGCGGUGAUGGAUGGCGGUGCGUCCCAUUAGGAAGUUGGCGGGGUAACGGCCCACCAAUCCUUCGAUGGGUAGGGGUUCUGAGAGGAAGGUCCCCCACAUUGGAACUGAGAUACGGUCCAAACUCCUACGGGAGGCAGCAGUGAGGAAUAUUGGUCAAUGGGCGAGAGCCUGAACCAGCCAAGUAGCGUGCAGGAUGACGGCCCUCCGGGUUGUAAACUGCUUUUAGUUGGGAAUAAAAAAAGGGACGUGUCCCUUAUUGUAUGUACCUUCAGAAAAAGGACCGGCUAAUUCCGUGCCAGCAGCCGCGGUAAUACGGAAGGUCCGGGCGUUAUCCGGAAUUAUUGGGUUUAAAGGGAGCGCAGGCGGGAGUAUAAGUCAGCUGUUAAAUAUCAGGGCCCAACUCUGUUAUGCAGUUGAAACUAUAUUUCUUGAGUACGCACAGGGAUGGCGGAAUUCAGGGUGUAGCGGUGAAAUGCUUAGAUAUCCUGAAGAACUCCGAUCGCGAAGGCAGCCAUCCGGAGCGUAACUGACGCUGAGGCUCGAAGGUGCGGGUAUCAAACAGGAUUAGAUACCCUGGUAGUCCGCACGGUAAACGAUGAAUACUCGCAGUUCGGUUAUUAUGGUCGAGCUGUCCAGCGAAAGCGUUAAGUAUUCCACCUGGGGAGUACGCCGGCAACGGUGAAACUCAAAGGAAUUGACGGGGGCCCG